UACGUAGGGGGGCAAGCGUUGUCCGGAAUCAUUGGGCGUAAAGAGCGCGUAGGCGGCCCUGUAAGUCCGCUGUGAAAGUCAAGGGCUCAACCCUUGAAUGCCGGUGGAUACUGCAGGGCUAGAGUCCGGAAGAGGCGAGUGGAAUUCCUGGUGGUAGCGGUGAAAUGCGCAGAUAUCAAGGAAGAACACCCGUGGCGAAGGCGGCUCUCUGGGACGGUACUGACGGCUGAGACGCGAAAGCGUGGGGAGCGA
rnacentral:rRNA from 1 species